CACAUUACAAGAGACAAGAUUCAAAUAUUUCAGAGAUAAGAUAAGUCAUUGUUCAAGGUUACGAAAAACAUCUCCUGCGCCACACGGCCAGACUGCCUAUCACUGCUGAUAUGGAGCAGAACUUUGCUAAUUGUUUAGAUUUUCUGCUGGAGAGCCCCGCCAGCCUUAACCCACUGAAAACACGGUUGUGGACAUGCCCCAAGCUUCCAAAAAUAAACACUAUUAGCUUGCAUUGGUAGCCUAGGUCCCUUAGUAUUUCCAGAAUGGGCUGGUAUUUAAUGAUUUUAUCGUUGAAAGCAAUUUCCAUGUACAGAUCAAACACACAGCCUAUCUCAAGUAAGAGCACUUCCCUUCUGUCUCUUUUUAAAAACACAACAUCAGGGGUAUUUGGGAUGUUACACAUGACAUCAAUAGAGCUGUUAAACCAUUCCGGCAUGAUGCGUGAAUGUUUACACACACACACACACACACACACACACACACACACACACACACACACACACACACACACACACACACACACACACACACACACACACACACACACACACACGGUUAAGUGGUGAUAUCCAGCUUUUUUUACUUUUCACUUCUCAGGGUUGUGAAUUUGCCGCCACACUCGCAAAGCGUUUGACCGAUAACAACAGAGUGGGCAUCCUGACAAAUCACAGUAGACUGGGCUACUCGGGAGGGGAGCCUUAAAGUGACAUGAUAUUAAACAGCCCGUUUUUGAAAGCCACUGAAAUUGGUAUUGCAGAAAUGAACACUGAGAAUAAUAAGGGAUAUUUCUAAAAUACAGCCAUGUAACCCUAUUCUAACCGCAAAUGCAAUUAUUAACCCUAAAAAAGCAUGAUAUGGGAUCUUUAAAACAAGUCUGAGUGAUGGAUACAGGGAUUAAAUAUGAUGGACUGAGUGUUUACCUUUGGCGGGGUUGAACAGCAGGAAGCGCUCAAACAGCUCAUGCUGGAUGGGGACCUGCUCUGUGGAGUUGUAGGGCAGGAUGUCUUCGUGGCUCACGUAGUCCAGACCUGGACCACAACACCGGUCAGAGGUAUGGACACACACACAGAGGGUGAGGAGGAUCAAAUGAAAUGUUCUGAAUGACGGACAGGUGU